UGAAGACUGUCUGUACUAAUGUCGAAGAGAAUCACGUACUGCUCACUGAAACGCGCACCCGGCUGGAAAUCAUCCUUACGGAUACGGAAUACAAUUCUGGACUUUCUCUAUGAUUUCUAUUGAUGGCAUCUUUCUCGUAAACGGGACGAAAUUGCGUUAACAAGGUCCAGCCCAUACUUCAUCGACGAGCAACUGACCGAUG